rnacentral:lncRNA from 1 species
AUUCAAUAUUUCAGCAGUGUAAGUAUUAGAGUAGAUGCUGAGUGUUGAACAUUAAUAUAUGUACAAAAGCAGGAAAAGAUUGUUAAUGGAUAAUCAGUUAUGCUCAGCUUAAUUUUCUGUAAGCUACUGAUAAUUUGUUUGGGAGGAGUAUUUUUCUCUUACUGGGUAACUUAACAUUCAUAUAAAGGAGCUCUAUAUAAGAUCUAGAACCUAGUUAAUUCAGUGGAAAAGAGGUUAAAAAAAUGCAUUUUCAAGUAAAUGCAUCUUUAUUUCUUAAGUGAGCUAAUAAACCACUUUGAGAAAUUUGUGUUGAUGAUUCACGUUUGUAAAAAGUGUCUUUGGAUGAGUAACUUUGUUGGACUUCAGCAGCUUAGUUAACUUAUUUGUAUUAAAUUAUAUAAUAAGCUAUGGUAAUACAAAUUCAUUAUCAGAGCGAGUUUAAAGCAUGGGUCUAAAGGUCAGACAGGAGGAAACCCAUC